rnacentral:lncRNA from 1 species
UCACUAUUUCACAAAACACAAAAUAUUCAAAAUUUCACCACACCCAAGCUUGGCCGAAUUUCACUAAGGUCCCUAGCAACCCAUUUCUUUCAUUUAUUUCACAUUUUGACCCUUAAAUUUUUGAAAUUUACAAUUUAAUCCUUUUUUUUGAAAUUUUCGACUGGGUUAAAAUUAAAUUUGAAACAAAACUGUCCCUCGGGCUUCAGCCCAACAACUGAAUCCUAAGAAAAAAAGAAAACCGCAAGAAACAGGCUAACAAACAGUUUAGCCCACUUAAGAGAAAAAGCAAGAAAAAAGAAAAAUCAAAAACCCCCAGCCGAACGGUACAGUUGUCCUCAUAAAUUCUACUGACUUUUCUCUGCCCAAGACAACUGAAAAGUAAAAGCAAAUCCCCUCAAAUCUUUUGCUUUCUGAAUGCUUUUACUACUGGCAUUAACUCUUUCAUUUCAAUCGUCAUUCCAAAUGCCAACCCCCAUCAUCUUAUCCCUUUUCCUUCUACUCUGAAUAACCAAGGCGAUUUGGCUCUGAUUCAUCACAGAUCGAUCGUGAAGUCUUUCCCACCAGGUACUGCUCCUCUCCUUUAUGUAGUGAUCUUUUUGCUAAUCUAUGCGCCUCCACAUUUUCAGACCUUGGGAUGAAAUAGAAUCUGACUUUUUGAAAGAACUUUUUUAAGCUUUGAAUGUCACUGAUUAUUGCUCAUAUUUCUGAUCUGUCUCGACUUCCACUUUGACAUUUUGUUAUCACUGUUCUUGAGUCUCCUAUAAUGUCAAUAGUAUGAUAUCCCAACUGGAUCCCUAACCUUGUUGCUUGAAAUCCUGCAUGUGCUUCCGCUGCAAACGGAGACGCAACAUUGUCAUGAAGGAUCGAUUUUGCUUCAAUGAUUCUACCUUCCUCAUUCUUAACAAUAAGACCCGAUGUAGAUCUCUGGUUCUGUGAGUCAAAAGCCGCAUAAAAAAAGAUGGACUUAUUUUCCCUUUGUACCCUCUGUUUGGGCCUUGCGCUGACUUCCAAGGUGAUUACCCUUUCCUUUAUACCUUCCAAUUCGGAAAUGUAACUUUUAAUUUGUUUUGAUAUAUCCCAACUGGUGCUAUAUUUAUCUUCAUAUAUUAGCUUGUUCCUACUUGUCCAGAUUCCCCACAACCCGCAGCAAAAUCCCAUGCACUGUUCAUUCGUCCCUACGCUGAAGAUCCAGGAAAGCCAACUCCAUAAAUCAAAAUGGUUAUUGUUAAGUACCCAGGAGAAAUUUAACUGACUCCAAAUUUCUUUCACUAUAGGGCACCUUUGGAAGACGUGGAAAUUGUCUUCUUCUUCCUGACCGCAUCUCGGACAAGGGUCUUCCGUCAUAACUCUUUUCAGCUUAAGAUUAGAAAAAGUAGGAAUGUAAUUCCACGCUAUUUUCCAUACUGUAAUUUUAAUUUUUGAAGGCAUAUGCAAAUUCCAUAGUUUCCUGUAAAAGUUUUUAGAAUCGGCCUGUAAAUAAACAUUAGGAUCCAGUGUAGACUCUUGUAAUAGUUUAUAGGCGCUUCUUACUGAAAAAAUCCCAGUUGCCUCUCCUCUCCAUACUUGGAUAUCUUCGUGAAUAGUCAUUGAAAGCGGGAUCUGCAGUAUCUUCCUUGCAAUAUCCCUAUUAAAGGUACUGAUAAUCAAAUCUCUGUUCCAUGUUCUACUUUCUUCAUUUAUUAAGUCAGCCACCACUCUAAUGCUUCCACCACUGUUGUUGUUUUGUAAUCUGUCUUCAGUCACUCCCGGCACCCAUCGAUCAUUCCAUAUUGAGAUAUGGUCUCCUACCCCUACCCUCCAGCACAAUCCAUCCAUCAAAAGUUUUUUUGUCGACCAAAUACACCUCCAGGUAAGUGAAGGUAGGUUACUUAACGAAGCAUUCAUGAAGUUCGUUCUCGGAAAAUAUUUAGCUUUUAAAACUCAGGCUAACAAAGAACUCGGAUAAUUAAUAAGACGCCAACCUUGCUUAGCUAAUAGUGCUAUAUUGAACUUGUCUAAAUGUCUAAAGCCUAAACCACCCGAUUCUUUUGGUAAGCAAAUAUUCUUCCAUGCGCACCAAUGUAUCCCUUUUUUCCCUUUUUUUUUUGGCCACCAAAAAUUUUGCAAUAAUACUCUCUAAUUCCUUACAAAACGAUUUAGGGAGUAAAAAACAAGAAAUUGCAUAUGUUGGUAUAGAUUGUAAAACUGCUUUGAUGAAAAUCUCCUUACCUCCUUGUGAAAGAUAUUUGAUGCUCUAGUUCUCAAUACGUUGCCUGAAUCUGUCUUUCAAAAUCUGAAACGCUGCCUUUUUCCUCCUUCCCACCAAGCUAGGUAGCCCUAAGUAAUUCUCCAUAUCAUCUGAUCUUCGCACCCCAAGAAUUUGAGUAAUUGUCUGUCUUUCAUCCUCUUGUGAAUUGCUGCUGAAAAAAAUCUUUGACUUCGAAUAAUUCACUUUCUGACCUGAACAAACUUCAUAAUGAUGCAGAAUCUGUUUUAAAUAAAUUGAGCUCAUCUCUGUAGCUUCCCCAAACAACAUACAAUCAUCUGCAAAAAGUAAAUGUGAAACUUGUGGCCCCCUUCUGCUUGCUUUAACUCCUAUUACUUUGUUCUCCUGCCUUUCUAACUUCAUGAGGCUAGAUAAACCUUUUCCACAGAAUAGGAAUAGGAAUGGACUCAAUGGGUCUCCUUGUCGUAGUCCUCUAGUGGGGGAAAAGCCUUCUCCAAUAUGUCCAUUAAGAACCACCGAAUAAGAAACUGAAUUCACACAUCUGAAUAGUGAAGCCACCCAAUCAGCAUCGAAUCCAUUUUCUUCAUCAUCUCUUCCACAAAAUUCCAUUCUACCCUAUCAUACGCCUUACUCAUAUCUAGCUUGACUGCCAUAAAUCCUUUCUUCCCUACCCUCUUCUGUUUUAUCGUAUGGAGUAGUUCGUAAGCCAACAACACAUUAUUUGAGAUCAACCUCCCAGGAACAAAAGCACUUUGUGCAGAAUCAAUGCACUUGUCUAGUACUUUCCGAAUACGAUUCGCAAUAGCUUUAGCCAUUAACUUGUAUAUAACAUUACACAAACUAAUGGGCCUAAACUGUGUCAUAUCCACUGGAUUUGAAAUUUUAGGGAUUAAAAUAAUAUUUGUUUUAUUGAUAGGGCCAAUCUCCAUUCCUCCAUUCAAAUGAUCGAGACAAAAGUUAGUUACCUCUUACCUAAAAAUCGCCCAACAUUUUUGAUAAAAUAAUGCAGGAAAACCAUCUUCCUCUGGUGCCUUUGUGGCUCCUAAUUUAGAUAAAACCUGCUGUAUCUCUUCCUUUGUAUAUCUCUCUUUUAGCAUUAAAUUGUUUUCAUCUGAUAUACACUGAGAAACUCCAGAUAAAACAUGCUCAUAAUUAACUCUUCUGCCAGCCGAAAAAAAGUUUUUGGAAAUAUGUUUUGGCUAUCAUUUCCAUUUCAUUAAGAUCAUCCGUUUCCCUCCGGUCAUCAUACUGCAUUUUACAUUUCAAAUUCCUCUGCUGCUUCUGUGUUGCUUGUUUGUGGAAAAAAGUUGUAUUUUUAUCCCCAAGGUUCAACCAGUUGACCCUCGCUCUUUGUUCCCAAUACGGUUCGUCUUUUUCAAUCCCCAAAUUCAGUUGGAUUUUCGUAUCAAUCAGAUCGACUAAAUUAUCUUCAUCUCUUUCAGCCUCUAAUAAUGUGACCAAUUUUGAGGAUAACGAUUUUUUCCUUCUCUAGAUCUUCAAACUUGUCUGGCCCAUUGCUCCAAUCCCCAUUUCAUACUAUUUAACUUGCUCAAGAACUCGCCCUCAUAAUGCUCCCAAAUACUUUUCACCUCAAUUAAGAAUGAUUCCUCCAGCUCCCACCAUGCUUCAAACUUGAAAUCUUCUUGUAUUCUUUCUCUACAUUCCUUUUUUGUAUCAACCAAUAAAGGACAAUGAUCAGAAAACUUAUGCGGAAGGUGUUGAAUCUGAAAUUUAGGGAAUUUUUGCAACCAUUCUUCAUUUGCCACUCCCUAUUUAAUCGUUCUUGGAUAUUAUUUUUAGGAAGAUUCCCUUUGUAAACCAAUUUCCAAUGAAUCCCAAAUCAGAUAAGCUGCAGUCCUCGAAUGUCUUACGAAAAACUUCCAUUCGUCCUUCCUCUCUUGGUAAUCCACCUUUCUUCUAAAAACUAUACAUAAUUUCGUUAAAAUCUCCACAAACCAUCCAUGGUAACUCCCCAGUCGUGCCCAAGCGUCGUAAUAGAUUCCAUGCCUCUGCUCUUUCUUAUGGAUAUAGAGACCCAUAAACACCGGUAAACAUCCAUUUGCACCUUUCUUCAACUUCAUCAAUAAUCACAUCAAUAUGUCAUUUUGAAAAAUUUUGAAGCUGAACAUUUUUCCCUGCUCUCCAGGCCAAACAUAGCCCACCUCUAAAACCAUCUGAACCAACAUCAAUGCCAUUAAGAAACCCACAACUUCAAACUUUUUCCAUAUGAUUGCUACUAAUUUUUGUCUCCAUAAAGAAGACUAUAUGGGGAUUAUACAACUUCAGCAUAUACCGAAGUCUUCGAAUUGUCCGUGGAAUCCCCAAUCCACGAAUAUUCUAACUUAGAAUUUUCAUUGUGAUCGGUCGGCAUGCCUCUUGGCAGCCGCCGAUAAAUGAUGACUAACCUCCACAAUUCUCUUGCUCCUUUCCGCCAAAACGUUAGUCUCAUCUUUGGCCAAGGCAUCUUCCAUCUCCCUUCUAUUUCUCUUUUGGCCUUCCUCUCCAACAAUCACCUCAUCUUCAAUAUCAUGUUCCAUUGAACUAUUCUCCAAAUUACCACUCCAGUUCCCAUUACCUUUCGCUGUGUAAUAUUCCCUCCCUGUCAAAUUUAUUUCCAAAACUGGAUCAAGAAAUUCCCCACUGCCCCUACUUUCCAUUAGACUGUUGACAUUUGCCCCCUAUUAUGCCUUUCCCCAUUACUUCCUCUCCCUUGUCCCUCACUUUCUUCUUGCAACCAAACACUUGUCAUUGUUUGAGCUCGAUGAGAUUGCGCCCUAAGUGAUAAAUCCCACCCCAUCUCUUUAGCUUCCACACCUAGCUCCAUCCUUGCUUCACAAAAGGAAUCACUAUGGCCCAAACUACCACAAUAAAAGCAAAAAAGUGAGUCUUUCAUAUCUAAAUCGAACAUAUGAGCAUUUUCCAUAGCACAUUAUUUGUUUUUUCCUUUUUAAUGGACGCCUUAUAUCAAUUCUCACACGAUUCCUCAUGAAGUUUUUACCUUCUUUCCCCAUAUUUGAUCCAUCAUAUUCCAUGAACUCCCCUAUGAAAUUCCCCAUUUGAAUUGCCAAAUUUUUCGAUACAAAACUGAUUGGGACAUCAUGUAUUUGGACCCAUGAAGGCGAGUGUAUUAAAGGGAUGAUCAAUAAAUGAUUGUUAAAAGUCCAAGGUGAACCAUUUAGAACCCUUUCAAGAUCCAUAAUGUGAAAAAAAUUGAAAUAAAUUCCUUUUUUCCCAGAUCUCUAAUUUUGGACUCCCUUCACUGGAUGCCACACGCUUGCCAUUGUAUUUCUCAUUGCUGCCUUCACUGGAUGCCACACGUUUGCCAUUGUAUUUCUCAUUGCUUGAAAAUGGACAAUGCUCGAUGUUAAAAAACAUCCUACCAAUUGCAAAACUUCCACUUCUCCAUUCGUUUCCACAUCAGAUUGAAUCUGGCGAAUUUCGUCUUCCUCCUCCAGCGAUAAUCUCGCAAAUUCUCCCUCCGUACUAACUCAGAGCCUUAGUAGAGUACGUAACACGAAAACUUGGAUAAAGCGAUACCGUCACAACAAGAUCAGAACCAAAAAACCAAGAAAACCCUAAAAUUGCUAGAGAGAGCAGACAGAGACGUCAUCAUCAAACAACAAAAACCACAAGCUAUCAUCAAUGGAAAAUCAUAAAAUACGUCAAAAAAUUCAAAAAUUUUAACAUGGGCUAGCUUGUAUUCGAAGCAUCGAUCUCAAAAAUAUAAAAAUUAUCAAAAUUGAGCAGAAACGAACCUAAAAUCAAGCUUGAACCAAGGUUGAAUGUUCAAAAGCUUUAAAGCCCGCUUUUUCUUUUCUUGUUUCGGUGAAAAAACGAUGGACCAAUGCAUGUUUUUUUAUGUUUUAUUAUAUUAACAUAUUUUACUAAUUUUACAAAACUAACCUUUAUAAUUUAAUAUAAAAACCAUAUAUUAUAAACCCAAAAUCGUCCACUCAAAUAACCAAGGGACAAAUAACCACUUAAGGACUUCAUAAUUAAUAAAUCAUCGCAAAUAAACACUUAAACAAUUAGUAUGCCACUGUUGCAUUUUACACAAUUAAGUCAUUUUAUCAAAUUAACUAUCCAAUUGGUAAAAUUAAAUCACGAAAUUUUCACACAUCUCAAUUAACAUGCUAUAAAUAGAAAAAUUAAUAUUAAAAUAAUUUUAUGACUUUAGAUUUGUGGUCUCAAAACUACUAUUCUAACUAGGGUCUAAUCCGGGCUGUUACAAGUAGAAUGUCCCCCAGAAUACAACAACAACAAUAGUGAUCAAAGUAGCAACAUCUCUACAACAAUCGAACAAACACAACCUUUUUCUAUCACCGAAAUGUUUGAAAUUAUGAGGAGGAAAUGGAAGAUUUUUGAGAGCAACAGAGUUUCGGUAAGAGAAAAAUAUCAAAGAGUAUUUUUAUCUGUAAAACCCUUUAGAAAUCAUGGCUUUUUCUAAGCAUGAAGAAUGUUGAAAUUUUGGAAAAAAAAUUCCACAAAAUUUGCCAUUAAAUCAAUUUGAUUAAAAGAUUUAAUCAAAUUCAUUGGAAUCAAAUUAAUAAGAUAAGUAUCCUUAUAUAAGCAGAGAGGAAAAUAAAUUCAUGUUGGGUUAAAAUAUUUGCAGGCUUAUUUGGGCUCGAUCGAUCUAAACAUUUUGCGUCGCCUAUGUCGUGCGAGUGCAGCAUAACCCCGUCGGGUUUGGACCUGGAACUCCAUCCCCUACACACAAGGCAAAGUUACAAACUUAGUCAUUCAAUUACCUUUCAAAAAGGUUCACAUAUAUUAACACAACAAACACUUUGGUAUUUAACUAAUGUGGGAUCUAAGCCUUUACUUUUCCUCAACAAUAUUUUCAAGUAGUUUACUUUGAGCAUCAAUUUCUCAUUCAUUUCUCAACCAUUUUGAGCAUAUGAUUCAACUCUCCACCUUUACCUAUUGAAAAUAUGGCUAGAAGUUCUAAUAAAAGCUUUUUUUUCCAACAAAUUAUCUUUUUGAAGCUUCACUUCUCUCUCUAAAAUCACAUAAACCCUAAACCAAAAAUGAUGGAAAUGAUGGUGAAAUACAUGAAAGAAGGUUGAUUUCAACAAAACUCAAGGAAAAAACAAAAAAAUGAUGAAAAAGAAGAGAACUUCCUUAGGAAGAAGGUUGGUUGGCCAGCAGCAAGAAAAGGCUGAUGGGGCUGAUUUCCAUUCUUUUCUUUCCUUUAAAAACCACACAAAUGUCCUCCAAGAACACACAUAAAAUUUCAAGUCUAAUAUCACUAAUUGAAGCCCAAUUUACAUAUACCAUAACCCAAUGGUCUCAAUUCAAGUCUAAUAUAUCCAAAUAAUAUUUCCAUCAUAAAAUAUUUGAGAAAUGACCAAUUUACUCUUUUGUGGCAAAAUUAUCAUUUUACUCAUUUUUUAUUCUUUGUAUGAUUCUUUUCUCAACAAUGUGAAUUUAUUAAUCUCAAAUCUCAUAAUUCACUUAUAAUCUUUAAUAUAACUCCACAGAUGGUGAAAAGUGCAUCUGUUCUCUUUUCUUGAAAAAAUUAAGAAAUUUAAAAUUUAGUCCUUAUACUUUUUAAUUUUCUAAUUUGGUUCCAAAAGUGAUUUUCACCCUACCAAUACAUAUUCCAACUUAUCGUACCAAGUCAUCACUAAUAACUUUUCUCAAUUUGGUCAUAUUACACUUUAAUCCCUAAAGUUUUUAAAGUUUACAAUUUAGUUCUUUUUAUGUUUUCAUUUCUAAAAUUCUUUUCACUAAUUCCUAUAUCCAAAAUCACUUUACUUCUAUAAAAAAAGUACUUUAUCUGACAACUUUUCAAAUUUUCGUGGAAAUUCACUUAUUUAAAUAGUGACACAUGUCCUAAAUUUUUGGAUGUUACAAAAAAAGUAAAAAGAAAAUGUCAACUAAGCAUAUUAAGUUGUGGUAGGAAGUUGUGUUUGUUGAAGUGGUCCGAAAGGCCCCUACAACUGCUUCUACAACAUUUUUCUUUACAAUUUCCCGUUUUGAUAUUUUGGUAAAACAUCAAGUUACAAAACACUUAUAAUUAAAGUCUAAAAGUUGAAAAGCAUCAAAUCCAAAAUACAUAACUCCCCUAAAAAACGAACUCAUAAAAUUAAAAAUCUUUACUAUUGCAUUGCUCCCCUUUUUGACAAAACCCCAAAAAAAGGAGAGUCAGGCAUCUUCUUCCUCUAGAUCAUGAAUAAAUUGCAAGUUCUUCAGAAUUUGAGCUGUUCUCGCACGAGCUAGAAAAGAUGUGGCAUCUGAGGUACGCAUGCAUUUUAAUAUCCUCAAUAAUUAAUUAAAAGAGAAACAAAAAUAACAAAGAAAAAAUCUCACCAAAACAAUGGAGAAGUUCAUCUUUUAAUCUCUAUUUAUCAUCUUCUUUUACCAUUUAAACUAACUGUUUUUCACAAGUACGAAAAUUCUAAUAAAAUUAUUUAAUUCUCGCCACUAAGCUUCCUCUUGAUUCAUUUUUUUUUCCACGGAUUUUUCCUUGAACAUUUUAAAACAUUGUAAGUAAAAUCUAGCCCAAAAAUAAUCAUAAGUGUAUUUAAAUUUAAAAUUUUAAAAUUUCAGUUUAAUGCAUGUACUAAUCAUAAAAUAAAAAUUGUUAUAAAGGAAAACCUUCUUCCAUUAAAUGGAUGCAUUAACUCCUAAAACUUUUUUUUAACAUUGAUUUUCACUUGAAAUAGCAAUGAGGCGAGAAUUAAUCCUUUGAAUGGUAAUGGUGAAAAAAGAAGAUAAAUUUAGAUUAAAAAUUAACUUGUCUCCAUUGUUUGGAAAGAAAGUGGACAGAGUUUGUCGGCAGUUAACAAAUGUUAAGCUCUUAAUUCAUGUUUGGUAAAAAGGAAAAGGAAAUACAAAAAAUAAGGCAUGUUGUAAUCUUAAACUGUAAAUUUAAUUGUGAUCAAUGGCUAGAAAAAACGUGUACACCCCUUUGGAACAUAUAUAUAUAUAUAUAAAAUCAAUUAUUAUUAGACAAACUUAUAGUAGUUUUAAA